GCGCUUUGGAGGCUUGAAGCCACCGGAAGUAUAGAAGUUUCACCCAAAACAAGAAAGCCUAACAACUAAGAGGAGUUCGAGAUGCCGUCUUGUGCUGCUAUUAAUGGCACAAAUCGUGAUACUCGUGAAAAUCGCGAGAAGGGACUUACAUUUCACAGAUUUCCACACUGCAAUGCUCAACUUCUAAAGCAAUGGGUAGUAAAUAUUCGGAGAGACAGGUGGAUUCCUGCAGCCAGAUCGCAACUCUGUUCAAGUCAUUUCACCGAGGAGAGCUUGGACAGGACCGGCCAGACUGUUAGAUGACGACAAAAUGCAGAUACAACAAUAUUUGACUUUCCCGAUCAUCUUCUAAAGAUUUUCGGGGCACCGCCUCCGCUCUCAUCUCAUUGGCUGAUUAUCGGGGCACCGCCUACGCUCUCAUCUCAUUGGCUGAGUCAUACAGCAUGUACGUGAGUUUGUGUGAGAGACAGGCUUCUCCCUUCAAACUCCUUCCUCUUCGUAGUUGCCCUGAAACUAACUUAAACAAUUAAAUAAAGUUACAAAUUAAAAUUUUGCACACAGCAUUAUCGUGUAGUUCGUGUGCGUUUGUCUGUGAGACCAGCUGACUCUCAGACUCUGAGUCGCGUUUCGACUCAGGUUAGUCCUUCUCCUUCCUGCCUCCACUUGCGCUCCUGAUCAAGACAUCUCGUGAACGGUAAGAUUGUUUUUGUUUUUCAGUUUUAUUCAUUUACAGUAAUCUUAUUUAUUACCUUAUUUUAUAUUGGAAUGUUACUCUAUGUUUAUGCUAACGUUUUAUUAUAUUUUCCCACCAUAUUUGGUGGAUUUUGAAUAUUUUGAUGAUGAUGAUGAUGAGACCCGGCCGGGCUCAGCCCAAAGAAGCCACACGGGAUCUCCCCCCCGUAGACCCACCACCUACGCCUUCUGGUUGGGGAAAGGGUCCUGACUGUCGUUUGUGUGUACGCGCCAAACGGCAGUUCAGAGUACCCAGCCUUCCUGGAGUCCAUCAGAGGGGUGCUGGAGAGCACCCCAACUGGUGACUCUGUCGUUUUGCUGGGAGACUUCAACGCCCAUGUGGCCAAUGACAGUGUGACCUGGAGGGGCGUGAUUGGGAGGAACGGCCUCCCCG